GUGCUCGCUCUGACAGCACAUAUACUAAAAUUAGAAUGAUACAGAAGAUUCGUAUGGUCCCCGUGCAAGGAUGACACACAAAUUCAUGAAGAGUUCCAUAUUUUU
ensembl:snRNA U6 U6 spliceosomal RNA